CACAUGAGCAAAUGCAAGACAACAAGGAACUCUAAGGUCUGACUUGAUUCUUACACCAUGUGAUUCUAAAGGGAUGAGAGAUAAGAUCCGCGACAAUAAUGUAUCUGCUGCAUAAAAUAUUGGAAGCCUUCCCAAUCCUGCACCUUUCCAUUUUCUUCUUUGAGAGGAGACGAGUUGCUCGGCUCCUGAGCUUGUUGCAGUCAAAACAAACAGUGGGAAAAGAACAGCCAUGACACCGUAGCUCACAAGAGGAGAGAAGAAGAAAAUAGCCAGAACACAAGGGCUUCCAAAACCAGCAAAAAAAGCCCAGUUAGAUUCAAAGAAGUCCAGCCGUCUGUCCAGUGCCACUUCAGACAAAUUCCACUUGUACUCAAAACAGUAAUAAGCAUACAUCCAGGAAAGAAGUACAAAAUUGAGUGCCUUCCCUAUAUAUGGUAUGAAUCCUGUAGCAUAAACCUCUAGAAAGAAGAAGCUCAAAAGCAAUAUAGAAUACACCUGCUCCCCAAUUCCAAUCAUAACCCCUCCUAGACCAGCAGGCUUUUCUGUUGAACCUGAGUUGUCUGAGGUUGUUGUUGGAUCAUCCUGGCUUAAGGGUUCCAAUACGAUACGUUCAUCUCUUCCCAUUGCAGCAAAACCAAACUUAGCAAUUUCAUUGUACCAGAUAGUGCUCAGAAUAAAGCUAAAUAUAUAUAAUGGGUAGAACCAAAACACAUAAAAG
rnacentral:misc_RNA from 1 species